rnacentral:rRNA from 1 species
UAGCCUUGACAUUGAUAGAAUACACCAGAGAUGGAGUAGUGCCCUUCGGGGAGCUUGAAAACAGGUGCUGCACGGCUGUCGUCAGCUCGUGUCGUGAGAUGUUGGGUUAAGUCCCGCAACGAGCGCAACCCUCGUCCUUAGUUGCUAACGGUUCAGCCGAGCACUCUAAGGAGACUGCCUUCGCAAGGAGGAGGAAGGUGAGGACGACGUCAAGUCAUCAUGGCCCUUAUGGCUAGGGCUACACACGUGCUACAAUGGGGCGUACAAAGAGUUGCGAUACCGCGAGGUGGAGCUAAUCUCUUAAAGCGUCUCUCAGUUCGGAUUGGAGUCUGCAACUCGACUCCAUGAAGCUGGAAUCACUAGUAAUCGUAGAUCAGCAAUGCUACGGUGAAUACGUUCCCGGGUCU